ensembl:lncRNA
AUAAAAUAAUAAAUGAAAAUAUGUACAUAAGAAACAUGAAUAACAUCAGGGCAGUCAUCGCUAUGCACUGAUUCCUGUGCAGCUGAAUAAUUUUAUACCUACUUGCUUAUUACUACUGAAAAAGGAUUUAUUUAUUUAAUUCAAUAAAUAUUGUGGCUAAAGCAGAAUUCACAGUCUUUUAAAUGGCUGCAGGUGAGCGUACAAGGGUGAUGUAGCAUCUUAGUCAGUAAGAGUCAUAUCAAGGUGAGUUCAGGUCUCCAUCCAUCAUCUUAACCUUUCUCGCAAGCUGGCUGAUGAAGAGAAGGAUCUCAUCAUCUCCACUCUGACAAUUUCCCAGGCACAGUCGCUGUAUUCCUUCUCUUUCAGGUAGAUAUGGAUGCCCUGGAAGUACCUCUUCACGGCCAGUGUGGGGCCUCUCCUCCCCAGGGCAGAGUCUUCUCUCCCAUCACUGCCCCAGGCAGGCGUCCAGGUCGUCCAGCUGCUGAUGGAGUCCAGUGUGGAGCUGCUCCAGGAGGGUGGUGUCCCAGGCAGCAGAGGAGCGCUCUGUGUGGAAGAGGUUGAAGCUCUGCUGGAGCAUCUCAUGGAGCACAGAGAUGGCCUGGGCCUCGUGGAGCUGGCUGCCCUCCACCAUCUCCUGGGGGAAAGCGAAGUCUUUUCUGUCCUGCAGACAGAAGCAAGAGGAGAGUCUCCUCAUUUGGUCCAGGAGCCUGAGGUUCUUCCUGCCAACCAGCAUGUGGUUCGGAGACAGGCCACAGCCCAGGGAUCCUCCCGAGCCGUAGCUGACCAGCACCAGGGCCAUCAGUAGAGAGAGCACGAAGGCCAUGGGGAAGAUGAGGCUGCUGCUGGGCUGGCUGGGACGGCGUCUGGUGGAACCUUGAGGACCCUAAUCCUCAAGAAGCUUUCUACAGCUCUCAAUGUACUUUAAAUGUCCUCCGAGGAGCUCCCCUGGUGGCUCAGUGGUAGACAUGGAUUCCGUGGAAGUACCUCUUCACGGCCAGUGUGGGGCCCAUCCUUCCCAGGGCAGAGUCUUCCUCUCCCAUCACCUGCCCCAGGCAGGCAUCCAGGUCGUCCAGCUGCUGAUGGAGUCCAGUGCGGAGCUGUUCCAGGAGGGUGGUGUCCCAGGCAGCAGAGGAGCGCUCUGUGUGGAAAAGGUUGAAGGUCUGCUGGAGCAUCUCGUGGAGCACAGAGAUGGCCUGGGGCUCCUGGAGCUGGCCGCCCUCCACCAUUUCCUGGGGGAAAGCGAAGUCUUUUCUGUCCUGCAGACAGAAGCGAGGGGAGAGUCUCCUCAUUUGGCCCAGGAGCCUGAGGUUCUGCCUGCCAACCAGCACGUGGUUCUGAGACAGGUCACAGCCCAGGGAUCCUCCCGGGCCAUAGCUGACCAGCACCAGGGCCAUCAGUAGAGAGAGCAGGAAGGCCAUGGGGAAGAUGAGGCUGCCGCUGGGCUGGCUGAGGCGGCGUCUGAUGGAACCUUGAGGUAGGUUCUCUGAUGCCACUCUUUCUAAGCAAGGCCAUUAAAUAGGGAACAUGGUAAUUUUCAUUUUCUAGUCAUUUCUAUACACUUUUACUUCCUUUUUUGAUUUUCAUUUAUUUAUUCUGAAUAUGGUCAAAGAAAUUGUCAUCAGUCUAAACUCUUAAUUUUAUCUAUUUCCCAAUAACUUCAAAUGUACCCAUCUAAAUGGAUAUUUAUCAUCAAAUGAGAAGGUCUUCGUCUUAUGUUAGAAUUGAACUACGUUUAUAAUUACACACAUAUUGCUCCCUGUCUCUCAUGUGUAAAUGUUCCUCUCCUCUUGUCCAGGAACACAUUUGUAGCCCUCAUCUUAGGCUCCAUUUUCCCCUCUCACUUUACCUAGGAAGCCAGGCUCCCUCAGCCCUAUGGUUUCCGUAUUUAUUUAGGGAUUUACCAGAUCACUGUGGCAGUUGAGCUCUUUGAAACAAGAUGGGUUUUCUUUAGAGUUUGAUUUUGAGAAGAGGCUGAUUAUUAUCAGUCCAUGAGUUUACCCCACGUUUUUCUUCCUUCUAGAACACGUUCCUGCAGGUCCAUGUGGCUGUGUUUUAGGGAACCACAAAUCAGGGCCAUUACAGACAUCACCCUUUCUUUCCACCAUUUUCUUGCUGGAGACCUGUCGUCCUCCACAGACUGGGCCAAUACCCCCGCCAGAAUCCUGGUUCUACUUAGGGAACAUGGGUGAGGACUCUCUACAUCCAGGAUAAUUGUAUUUUCCAGCAGCACCUCACUCCCAAGAGAGAGAUCACAUG